GUGGGGAAUAUUGGACAAUGGGCGAAAGCCUGAUCCAGCCAUGCCGCGUGAGUGAUGAAGGCCCUAGGGUUGUAAAGCUCUUUCACCGGGGAAGAUAAUGACGGUACCCGGAGAAGAAGCCCCGGCUAACUUCGUGCCAGCAGCCGCGGUAAUACGAAGGGGGCUAGCGUUGUUCGGAAUUACUGGGCGUAAAGCGCACGUAGGCGGAUCAGUCAGUUAGGGGUGAAAUCCCAGGGCUCAACCCUGGAACUGCCUUUAAUACUGCUGAUCUAGAGUUCGAGAGAGGUGAGUGGAAUUCCGAGUGUAGAGGUGAAAUUCGUAGAUAUUCGGAGGAACACCAGUGGCGAAGGCGGCUCACUGGCUCGAUACUGACGCUGAGGUGCGAAAGCGUGGGGAGCAAACAGGAUUAGAAACCCGAGUAGUCC
rnacentral:rRNA from 1 species